rnacentral:rRNA from 1 species
UAGGGAAUCUUCGGCAAUGGGGGCAACCCUGACCGAGCAACGCCGCGUGAGUGAAGAAGGUUUUCGGAUCGUAAAGCUCUGUUGUAAGAGAAGAACGUGUGUGAGAGUGGAAAGUUCACACAGUGACGGUAACUUACCAGAAAGGGACGGCUAACUACGUGCCAGCAGCCGCGGUAAUACGUAGGUCCCGAGCGUUGUCCGGAUUUAUUGGGCGUAAAGCGAGCGCAGGCGGUUUAAUAAGUCUGAAGUUAAAGGCAGUGGCUUAACCAUUGUUCGCUUUGGAAACUGUUAAACUUGAGUGCAGAGGGGGAGAGUGGAAUUCCAUGUGUAGCGGUGAAAUGCGUAGAUAUAUGGAGGAACACCGGUGGCGAAAGCGGCUCUCUGGUCUGUAACUGACGCUGAGGCUCGAAAGCGUGGGGAGCAAACAGG